GACGAACGCUGGCGGCGUGCUUAACACAUGCAAGUCGAACGGAAAGGCCCUGCUUUUGUGGGGUGCUCGAGUGGCGAACGGGUGAGUAACACGUGAGUAACCUGCCCUUGACUUUGGGAUAACUUCAGGAAACUGGGGCUAAUACCGGAUAGGAGCUCCUGCUGCAUGGUGGGGGUUGGAAAGUUUCGGCGGUUGGGGAUGGACUCGCGGCUUAUCAGCUUGUCGGUGGGGUAGUGGCUUACCAAGGCUUUGACGGGUAGCCGGCCUGAGAGGGUGACCGGCCACAUUGGGACAGAGAUACGGCCCAGACUCCUACGGGAGGCAGCAGUGGGGAAUAUUGCACAAUGGGCGGAAGCCUGAUGCAGCAACGCCGCGUGCGGGAUGACGGCCUUCGGGUUGUAAACCGCUUUCGCCUGUGACGAAGUGUGAGUGACGGUAAUGGGUAAAGAAGCACCGGCUAACUACGUG
rnacentral:rRNA from 1 species